UACGAAGGUUGCAAGCGUUACUCGGAAUUACUAGGCGUAAAGGGCAGGUAGGUGGUUUGGUAAGUCUAUUGUGAAAGCUCCCGGCUCAACUGGGAGAGGCCAAUGGAUACUGCCAAGCUUGAGUAUAGGAGAGGUUACUGGAAUUCCCGGUGUAGCGGUGAAAUGCGCAGAUAUCGGGAGGAACACCAAUGGCGAAAGCAGGUAACUGGACUAUUACUGACACUCAACUGCGAAAGCUAGGGGAGCAAACAGG
rnacentral:rRNA from 1 species